rnacentral:tRNA from 1 species
AGUAAAAUGGCUGAAGUUUAGGCAAUA